rnacentral:misc_RNA from 1 species
GGGGCUUGGUGGGGGGGAGGGGGGGUGGUUGGUGAAGGUGUUUAUAUAUAUAUAACCAUAAAUAUCAUACAGAUGAAUGUCCCACAACAAAGGGUAAAUGAAAUAAGGAUUAAAAUUCAAUUUGCCCCUUGAACAUGUCAGGCAUAUCCAAUUCAUCCCAAAAUUAACUUUUCAGCCAAUUUAAUACAUUAACCUGUAAUUUAUGGCCAAUUAAGCCCAAUUAAUGUGAAUUGGCCCCGAACAACAACAAUUUCUUUCUCAUACAAUAUGAACU